rnacentral:rRNA from 1 species
GUGUUAUAAAAAUUGUUGUAAUUUGAAGGAAGUAACAAAAUUAAUUUAAAAAAUAAUUUAUUUUAAAAAGUAGAAAUUAACGAAAUUUUUUUAUUGGCGAUAGAAAAAUAGUACUGAAAAGGAAAAUUUAAAUGUUAUAAAAAAUUUUUUAGUAAGUGUAAGUUGCUGUACCUUGUGUAUCAGGGGUAAUUAAAUUUUAUUAAGUAAAUUAGAAAUCCCGAAGUAAAAAUAGCUAGUUUUUUAAGAAAGUUUUUGUGACAUAAAAUUUUGAAUAAAAAGUUAAAGAUGAAAUGUUAUACGAGUUUUAUGAUAUCUGGUUUCUUAAGAAAUAAAUAUAAUUUUAAGGUUUAAAAAAACGAUUUAAAGGAGGAAGAAUAGGAGGGAUUAGCUUCUUAUUCAAUAAGAGAGUUAUAAUACUUGGGUAAAUAAAAAUUAGUUUUUUCUAGGCUUAAAAGUAGUCAUGAUAAAAGAGUGUUUUAACUGAGAGUUAAAAAGUAAAUUUAUUUGUAUCAAGUUUAAGUGUUAUUAAGAUAUUUAUAGAAACUUUUUUAUAAAGAUUCAAUGAUUAUAUUAGUAUAAAUUUAUUUGUUAUAUUUAUAAACUUAAAAUAAAAUAGGUUUAAAUUUAUAAAUUGUUAUUUAAAGGUUAUAUCAAAGGAAUUCGGCAAAUAAAAUUUCUUUGCCUGUUUAUCAAAAACAUGUCUAUUUGAAAUAAUAAAUAGUCUAGCCUGCUCACUGACAAGAAGUUAAAGAGCCGCGGUAUUUUGACCGUGCAAAGGUAGCAUAAUCAUUAGUUUCUUAAUUAGAAACUCGUAUGAAUGGUUGAACAAAAGAAAAGCUGUCUCUGAUGUAGAAAUAGAAUUUAACUUUUAAGUGAAAAGGCUUAAAUCAUUCAAGGGGACGAUAAGACCCUAUAAAGCUUUAUAUUUUAGCUAUAAUUUAAUUAAAUUAAUUAGAUCAAAGGUUUUAAUAAGUUAUUAUAUUUUAUUGGGGAGGUAUAAGUAUAAUUUAUGUAACUGCUUAUAAGUUAGUACACUGAUAAUUGAUUAGAGUUUCAAUGAUCCUUUAAGAUAAAGAUUUAAGACUAAGUUACUUUAGGGAUAACAGCGUUAUUUUUUUUGAGAGUUCAUAUCGAAAAAAAAGUUUGCGACCUCGAUGUUGAAUUAAAAUUAUCUUUAUAGUGCAGCUGCUAUAAAAGAGGGUCUGUUCGACCUUUAAAUUUUUACAUGAUUUGAGUUCAGACCGGCGUGAGCCAGGUCGGUUUCUAUCUCUUGAAAAAUAAGUCAGGUUAUUAUAGUACGAAAGGAUUUAAUAACUUAAAAUUUUU